CAUAUCUCUGGGCAGACGGACUCUUGUGAGGCUUGUAAAAUACUGAGCACCUUCUUGGCAGAGUCGCAGUGAAUAAGAAUUUUCCCUCUGGAAUAAAAUGCACAGCGGAAUCAAGGCUGUGGGUCACCCCAUCGAUGCGGGGUCAUCAGAAGCUGAACGUGAGCUGUGGGAGAGCAGCCGAGAUGAGACAAGGAGGUUUCGCUGUGGGUUGGAACUGUCACGGGGCAGCUGACGGUGGAGCAGAACAUCUGAACGGGCCUACGCAGUGCUGGGAGGAAAAACACACCAACCCCAUCUUGCUGGGAAAUGGGGCUUCAGCUUCUUCCAGUUUUUGGAUUCCAACCCUGCCCUAAAUCCAGCAGAGCUCUCCGGAAACACCACGUCUGUGGGUGGCACAGGGGGUCACUGCCCGAAUCUGCUUUCUCCUGGCAACCAAAAUGUGCAGCUGGAUCCCCGGCCUCGGCCAGUCACGGGAUGUCUCUGGGGUGCAGCUCGGCCUUUCCAAAGGACGCUUUGCCAGUGUCUGAGGAAAUGGUGUUGAAGAGCCUCUGUGUUGGAUGGAAAAGGAGGCAGGGAAGGAGUGAAGAUGAAAACGAAGAUAUGGCGGGGGGGCCGUUCCUGCAGUGCUUGUGAUGUGAGCGGAGAGGUGGCGACUCCCUGGGAAGGACACAGGGACCAGCAGAAGGAAAUAGCAUGUUCUUGGGGAAUACAAACAGUCCACAGCCUUCCUGCACCACUCCCUACCGCUCUCCUGGAGCCUGUGGGGAGCAGCAGUGGGGCUGCCUGGCCUGGCACCCCCAGACAAUCGGACCCACACCAAAGGUGAAAAGGCUGAGGGAGAUGGAGGGAGCAUCAACAGUCAUGAUGUUUGGGCAAGACCAGCCCAUCCCACCCCCUGAAGCUCAGCUGCAUGUUUAGGACCACCACUGGAUCCAUGCUGGCGUUUGCCUCUUGAUGAUCAUCUCCCAAAACAUCCUUGUUCCUGGAAAGCCUCAACAAAAUGUUCUGCGAGAGAUGAGUGGCAAUCAGUUGGAGACCGCAGCUGUGAGUGUCCAGGGCAGGAGCUCCCUGCCAAGCCUGAUGCAAGAUCAGUUCACUCUGGCCAUACAAAUCACCUCUCCGUGCCCACAGACCGUGAUGUAGGUUUCCUGUUCACCUGGGCUGGAGACGCUCCAGAGCUCCUGCGGUGCUGGACACGGAGGGAUUCCCCAGGCAGACUUGCUGGAGAACUCGUCUGCUCUGAAAAUCACCAGUCCCAAGAUGUUCUUGAGGAGGUCCUGGAAAGGCAACAAGGAGACGUGUCCUGGUAUGGGGAUGGAGGUGUUGUGAAGCCCAUCAGCUGGCAGGGGGUUGCAGACCCCUCUGCCCAUCCUUCCCAAACAGAGCUGUCCUCCUGCAGCACAAGGCGGAGAAGAAAGCGUAUCGCGAGCAAAUCCUGUGGGUUCAGACUGGCAAAGGAAGCAGAGCAGUGCAUGCGCAGAGGUGCUUUCAAUCCUAAGGAUGCUGCACUCAGUGCUGAUAAGAGACCAACAGAAU
rnacentral:lncRNA from 1 species